rnacentral:lncRNA from 1 species
UUUCAACUUUCAUAAAGGAUAGUAAUAAAAUUACAUAUUUUAAUUAUAAAAUAAUUAUAGUAUUAAAUAACUUUCUUAAUCAGUAUAUAAAAAUUUAAAAGGACACUUAUUUAGGAGGAGUGAGUAGCUUUUAAAACUUAAUUAAUGGAAGUCAUUCAGACGAACAUCAAUCAGUCUUAACCUAAAACCUGGACAUAAAUAAAUACUCGUAUCUGAAUCUAAGGAAGGACUCAUUAUGAGAUACGAAAUGAACGCCUAAGCUGUCAUCUUUGCUGCAAAUAUACGUACGUACGGCUCCACUGGACUCCUCUAGGAGGUUGUUACCGGCGGCGUACGGCGGUGCAUUAUUACAUAUGUAAGCACACAAACACAAGGGAAAAAGAGAGAGAGAGCCUGCAGCCUAUACAUCUAUACUAGUACUAGUAUUUAAUUCCUGGGAAUUUGAAAAGAAAGUACACUCACAUAUCUCUCUCUCUUUCUGUCACUUCCAUUUUCUUUGAGUUUCGAGCCUGAAUUAUUGCAAUCUUUUUCACUGUAUUUUCUAGUAAACCUUUUCUUUUUCAACUUCUCGA